CAUUGUACUCCUUGAUCUUCUGCUCAAUCUCAGCUUGAGAAAGGUCAGGUGUCUCCCACUCCACAGGCUCGUCCUGCAAGAUGGGCCAGCAUGGACACAGGGCCCUUGAGGAACCCAGGGCUUCUCUGAAAAAUGGCCUCUGGGGCAGUCUUUGGAAACUGACUGCCUUUGGCCCCCUGUCCCUGAUGUACAUAUACAUAGCUGGUGCCCACCCUGAACCCACCACUGCUCCUGGUUUUGCAUGCUCUGGGUGGAUAAGGGAAAGACAGAAUCAUUUGGCUUCUCUCUGCUGCCUGCCUAGGGCCUCAGCACUGAAUGUAGCCUUAAGGAUACCACAGAAGCAGGGGCAACUGAAGGCACAUGGCCAGGGGCCAGGAACAGCUGAGGGACUCUGAAGAGGGACUCUCAUUUAAAGUAAAAUCAGGCUGGGUGUGGUGGCUCACAUCUGCAAUCCCAGCAUUUUGGGAGGCUAAGGUAGGAGGAUCACUUGAUCCUCAGGAGUUUGAGACCAGCUUGGGCAACAUAGCAAGACCUCAUCUCUACUAAAAAAAGAAAAAAAAAAAUUAGCCAGGUGUGGUGGUGUGCCUGUAGUCCCAACUGUUCAGGAGGCUGAGGUGGGAGGAUCGUUUGAGCCCGGGAGAUUGCAGCUACAGUAAGCUAUUAUCGUGUCACUGCACUCCAGCCUGGGGAACUGAGUGAGACCCUGCUUCAAAACACAAAAAACAAAAACAGGCUGGGCACGUUGGCUCACGCCUGUAAUUCUAGCACUUUGGGAGGCCGAGGCGGGUGGAUCACCUGAGGUCAGGAGUUUGAGACCAGCCUGACCAACAUGGAGAAACCCCGUCUCUACUAAAAAUACAAAAUUAGCCAGGCGUGGUGGCACAUGCCUGUAAUCCCAGCUACUUAGGAGGCUGAGGCAGGAGAAUUGCUCAAACUCGGGAGGUGGAGGUUGCAGUGAACUGAGAUCGUGCCAUCGCACUCCAGCCUGGGCAACAAGAGCGAAACUCGGUCUCAAAAAAAAAAAAAAUCAGUAAAAUCACACCUCAAUUGCACAUUCUGAUCACAGCACCCUAGUUGAGUUGGAGUGAGGGUUUGUCCUGGAGAAGGCAGCCCAUUUUUCUCCUCUGCCCCGGCACGGGGCCAUGACCCACUGCAGGGUGAGAGGAGUGGAGAGUGGUGCACAUCAGUAGUCCAGCCACCAGUGGACAGAGUAGUACUUGGAGCCAGUUCUCCAUGUCUCACACAUAGUGAGAAAAAUCACUGUGACAUGAUGUUUAACCUUGACCCAAGCUGCAUAAAAGGCAGCUUUAGGCCAGGCUCCAAUCUGCCAGAGGUACACAGGCAGCUUCCUGGUGGGUUUCUGCACCUGCCUGUGCUGUCUGGAGAUUUGGCCCAAAGAUUUUUUUUUUUUUUGAGACGAAGCCUCACUCUGUCGCCCAGGCUGUAGUGCAGUGGCUGGAUCUUGGCUCACUGCAAGUUCUGCCUCCUGGGUUCAAGCGAUUCUCCUGCCUCAGACUCCCGAGUAGCUGGGACUACAGGCGCGUGCCACAACAACACCCGGCUAAUUUUUGUAUUUUUAGUAGAGAUGGGAUUUCACCACAUUGGCCAGGUUGGUCUUGAACUCCUGACCUCAAGUGAUCCGCCUGCCUUCACCUCCCAAAGUGCUGGGAUUACAGGCGUGAACCAUCGUACCCGACCCAGAGAUUUUUAACUCGACCACUCACUCCCCACCUCAUCUAGGGACUGGAUUCUUGCCGGAAGGGUGGAGUGUGGGACAGGGCAGCCAGGGCUCUGAACCGACUUUCUUCUCCCAGACUCCCUUGGCCCCACUGCAUCAGCCUUACUUCCUGUUGACGUCAGAUAGGCCCUAGUUAGAAUGCGAGUGUCACAGACACAGCUAAGCUCAGCGCUGACCAAUACUUUGUCCCAGAAGAAUUCCCACAAGGUUUCCUGUAGAAUGAUCUUGUGCCUAGCCCAGGAGAGCCAGGGUUCUCCCUGACUCCGCCCUGGAGUCCCCUUAAGCACUUAAACCAUCUGAUGGGGACAAAUGGAGAGGACAGAUGAGGGAGCAGGGUGGAGCGUUUUAGCAGAAUGCUCCUUACCCAGAACCCGCUGCUAUUCUGCAGCCAGCAAGGAUGUGGGGCUAAGAACUAAGGCCAGGGCCUUACAGGAAAAAGGUAAAGGGGGAGGGGUGGGAAUUUAAGCUCAUUUUCUUCCCCAAGUAUCCAAAGGUCUCCUGGAUGGAGAAGAGCACUGGAGUAAAAACCCCAGUACAAACCUUACUGGGGACAGUGGGCAACCUUGUCGGGUUAGUAAAAACAAAUGGUGUGGGCCCUGGAAAAUGAGGGCUGGAGGCUGUGAAUAAAGCAGUGGAUGUGUUUGUUCAGUACACCAACGGGAAGAAGUACCCAGAUGGGAGGAGUACUAGGGGCAGGAGAAAUGCCAGACAGACUCUAGUGCCAGGGCAAGAAGGAAGAUCAUUUUGUUUGCAGAACAGGGAGGGCACAGGGAUGGUGCUAACUUGUUCUUGUGAUGGCUCUGAGCUCCUACCUAACAAUGAGAAAGCUUGCUCCUUCUUCCCUUCCUGGAUGACCCAGGAGCCCUGGGCUGGGAUGCAGUGACCUCAUUUCCAGCCCCUUCCCUUCUGGUGAUGAACCUCCCUAUCUUCACUCAGAAAACAGACUUGGAUUAGAGGCACUGCACAGCCCUUCCAGGAUUCUAAAGGAGGAAGAGUUUCUUUUUCUGUUUCCAAAGCUGCCUGCUGGAAGAGGAUUUCAACAGCCAUCCCAGUCGGAUGCACAGCAGGACCAUGGAAUUUCCCUUCUGCACCAUAGGGACCCACCCUCCACUCUACCACUGUCCAUAAAAACUGAUGGUUUUUUUUUUGAGACAGAGUCUCGCUCUGUUUUCCAGGCUGGAGUGCAGUGGUGCGAUCUUGGCUCAUUGCAAUCUCUGCCUCCUGGGUUCAAGCAAUUCUCUGCUUCAGCCUCCCAAGUAGCUGGGAUUACAGGUGCCUGCCACCACAACUGGCUAAUUUUUUGUAUUUUUAGUCGAGACGGGGUUUCACCAUUUUGGCCAGGCUGGUCUUGAACUCCUGACCUCAUGAUCCACCCACCUCGGCUUUCCAAAGUGCUGGGAUUAAAGGUGUGAGCCACUGCACCUGGCCUAAAACUGAUGUUUUUUUCUUUUUUUUUAACAUAUAACUUGGGACUUCUCAGCCUCCUAUUCUUUCUUUUUUUUUUUUUUUUUUUUUGAGACAGAGUCUUGCUCUCUCAUCCAGGCUGGAAUGCAGUGGCCCAGUCUCGACUCACUGCAACCUCUGUCUUCUGGGUUCAAGUGAUACUCCUGCCUCAGCCUCCCCAGUAGCUGGGAUUACAGGCACACACCACCAUGGCCAGAUAAUUUUUUUGUAUUUUCAGUACAGACGGGGUUUUGCUAUGUUGGCCUGGCAGGUCUCGAACUCUUGGCCUCAAGUGAUCUGCCUGCCUUGGCCUCCCAAAAUGCUGAGAUUACAGGCAUGAGUCACCAAGCCCAGCCUUCUUUCUUUUUUUUGAGACAGAGCCUCACCCUGUCACCCAGGUUGGAGUGCAGUGGCACGAUCUUGGCUCACUGCAACCUUUGCCUCCCGGUUGAAGUGAUUCAGUCUCCCAAGUAGCUGGGACUACAGUCACACACCACCAUGCCCGGCUAAUUUUUGUAUGUUUAGUAGAGAUAGGGUUUCACCAUGUUGGCCAGGCUGACCUCGAAUUCCUGAUUGCAAAUGAUCCACCUGCCUUGGCCUCCCAAAGCAUUGGCAUUAGAGGUGUGAGCCACCGUACUUGGCUUCCUUUUCUAUUUUUGAGACAGAGUCUCACUCUGUCACUCAGGCUGGAGUGCAGUGGCACGAUCUUGGCUCACUGCAACCUCUGCCUCCCAGGUUCAAGUGAUCCUUCUGCCUCACCCUCCCAAGUAGCUGGGAUUACAGGUGUGCACCUCCGUGGCUAGCCCUCCUUUUCAAUUGGUUAGUGUCUUGUGGUUUUCCCACCUUUCCACAGUGGAAAAUGGCUCAGGACUGACUGACAUGAAGACAAGCCCAGGGGUCUACACUCAACUCAACCCUUGCACCCAAGCUCUGGGCUAAGAUUUUGGCGUGCUGAGCACCACCCAUUUUGUAAGGAAUUUUGUAAAAUUUUAUCUGAAGCAUCACUCACAACUCCACUUUCUUUACUUAAAUAAGGAUUUCCGCCCCAUUUCUGCCAGGCAUACUGAGCUUCACAGUCCCUGUUUCUUUUUCCUGGUGCCUAGGCCUGGUUCUCUGAGCCUGGUGGUCACACCAAUGGCAUCUGGCACACAGUUCUCCGAUAAUGGGGAUACCUAGGAGGUUCCGAGACACCUUACAGUCCUGGGUUAGUAACCUGGAUCUCUUUUUCCACCUCUUUAGGCAUUUUAUAAUCUAGCUUUCCCCCUUCCUGUGGGUAAAGUGCUCCUGAAUGCUUAUGGUCCAAAACAAGACUUCUUUCCUAUCUAUUCCCAAAUCUUUCUCCAGAUCCACCCUAGAGGAAGGGAACAGAAUCUUCCACAUUCCAGCAGCUGGUGACAGGCCAGAACAGGGAAGAGGUGAGGGCUCAGCUGGCUCCAUACAGGAGUGCAGAUGGAGGAGCAGGAUCUCUCUCUGCCUCUCAAGUUUUCCUAAACAUACUUCUCAAUUCCUGGCGAGGACUCUUCCCUCUCCACAUCCUCCCCUAGUCUCCCCAAGGAGGGAGCAGGAGCAUUCGAACGCGGAAAUCGAGGUGCUAGUCCAAACUGCUCGGUCGGCUUUAGUCAUAGCUGGAUAAUGCCCGGCUCAGGUCUACCACAAGCCAUACAGCUGCUUUUUCCGUGUUCAACCUGUCUGUGACAGAAACCAAGGGGGCCCCGGCACCCAGCAUCUAGGCGGUGGAAUCGGGGUCUUACGCACGGUCAUUUCGAAAGAAGGCGCCUCCGCCUCGCCCAUAGCCGUACCCGCCC
rnacentral:lncRNA from 1 species